rnacentral:rRNA from 1 species
GACGAACGCUGGCGGCGUGCUUAACACAUGCAAGUCGAACGGAAAGGCCCUGCUUUUGUGGGGUGCUCGAGUGGCGAACGGGUGAGUAACACGUGAGUAACCUGCCCUUGACUUUGGGAUAACUUCAGGAAACUGGGGCUAAUACCGGAUAGGAGCUCCUGCUGCAUGGUGGGGGUUGGAAAGUUUCGGCGGUUGGGGAUGGACUCGCGGCUUAUCAGCUUGUUGGUGGGGUAGUGGCUUACCAAGGCUUUGACGGGUAGCCGGCCUGAGAGGGUGACCGGCCACAUGGGGACUGAGAUACGGCCCAGAAUCCUACGGGCGGCAGCAGGGGGAAAUAUUGCACAAUGGGCGGAAGCCUGAUGCAGCAACGCCGCGUGCGGGAUGACGGCCUUCGGGUUGUAAACCGCUUUCGCCUGUGACGAAGCGUGAGUGACGGUAAUGGGUAAAGAAGCAACGGCUAACUACGUG